UACGGAGGGGGCUAGCGUUGUUCGGAAUUACUGGGCGUAAAGGGCUCGUAGGCGGCCAACUAAGUCAUACGUGAAAUCCCUCGGCUUAACCGGGGAACUGCGUCUGAUACUGGAUGGCUUGAGUUCGGGAGAGGGAUGCGGAAUUCCAGGUGUAGCGGUGAAAUGCGUAGAUAUCUGGAGGAACACCGGUGGCGAAGGCGGCAUCCUGGACCGGCAUUGACGCUGAACAGCGAAAGCCAGGGGAGCAAACGGG
rnacentral:rRNA from 1 species